rfam:Triticum aestivum genome assembly, contig: Triticum_aestivum_CS42_TGACv1_scaffold_470967_6AL
CAUGUACUCCCUCCAUCCGAGAAAGUUUGUGCCUCAAAUGGAUGUAUCUAGCACUAACUUGAUGCUAGAUACAACCAUUUGAAGAACAAACUUGGGACAAAGCUUUUUCGGACGGAGGGAGUACCAA